GGUCAAGUUAUUAAGGGUGCAGGGCGGAUGCCUUGGCACUAGGAGCCGAUGAAGGACGUGAUAAGCUGCGAUAAGCUUCGGGGAGUUGCACGUAAACUUUGAUCCGAAGAUUUCCGAAUGAGGAAACUCACUUAGAGUAAUGUCUAAGUAUCAUUAAGUGAAUACAUAGCUUAAUGAGGGGAACUCAGGGAACUGAAACAUCUAAGUACCUGAAGGAAGAGAAAGAAAUUCGAUUCCGUAAGUAGCGGCGAGCGAACGCGGAUUAGCCCAAACCAAUAAAGUUUUCUUUAUUGGGGUUGCGGACAUAUCAUAACGAAGAGGUAUCGUAAUUGAAGAGGUUUGGAAAGACCCACCACAGAAGGUAAUAGUCCUGUAUGUUAAACGAGAAGACUUUAGAUAUGAUCCAGAGUACCACGGGACACGUGAAACCCUGUGGGAAGCAGGAGGGACCACCCUCCAAGGCUAAAUACUACCUAGUGACCGAUAGCGUAUAGUACCGUGAGGGAAAGGUGAAAAGAACCCCGGGAGGGGAGUGAAAUAGAACCUGAAACCCUGCACUUACAAGCUGUGGAAGCACAUUUCUUGUGUGACCGCGUACUUUUUGUAGAACGGGCCAACGAGUUACGUUAAGUAGCAAGGUUAAGCACUUAAGGUGCGGAGCCGUAGCGAAAGCGAGUUUUAACUGAGCGUUCAGUUACUUGACGUAGACCCGAAACCGGGCGACCUACCCAUGAGCAGGAUGAAGCGAAAGUAAAAUUUCGUGGAGGUCCGAACCCACGAGCGUUGAAAAGCUCGGGGAUGACUUGUGGGUAGCGGUGAAAUUCCAAUCGAGCCCGGAGAUAGCUGGUUCUCCCCGAAAUAGCUUUAGGGCUAGCCUCAAGGUGAGAGAUACGGAGGUAGAGCACUGAAUGUCCUAGGGGGUAUUGCACCUACCGAAGACUAUCAAACUCCGAAUGCCGUCAUCUUAUACUUGGGAGUCAGACUGUGGGUGAUAAGAUUCAUAGUCGAAAGGGCAACAGCCCAGAUCGUCAGCUAAGGUCCCUAAAUGUAAGUUAAGUGGUAAAGGAUGUGGGAUUGCACAGACAACCAGGAUGUUGGCUUAGAAGCAGCCACUCAUUCAAAGAGUGCGUAAUAGCUCACUGGUCGAGUGAUCCUGCGCCGAAGAUUUCCGGGGCUAAAACUUACUACCGAAGCUACGGCAUCAGUAAUGAUGGGUAGGGGAGCUUCCCAUACGGGUUGAAGCAUGACCGUAAGGACAUGUGGACAGUAUGGGAGUGAGAAUGUUGGCAUGAGUAGCG
rnacentral:rRNA from 1 species